UGGCAAGCCAGGCUCCCACAGGUUUACGCCGUACUCAAUAUUGAGGAUCGGCACAAAACCUGUGGGAGCCUGGCUUGCCA
rnacentral:misc_RNA from 1 species